UGCUAGCMGSSRCGGKRAUUCCAGCUCCAAUAGCGUAUAUUAAAGUUGUUGCAGUUAAAAAGCUCGUAGUUGAAUUUCGGGGUUAGUAGGUUGGUCAUGCCUCUGGUAUGUACUGGUCACACUGAUUCCUCCUUCCUUAUGAACCGUAAUGCCAUUAAUUUGGUGUUGCGGGGAAUUUGGACUGUUACUUUGAAAAAAUUAGAGUGUUUAAAGCAAGCUAACGCUUGAAUACACUAGCAUGGAAUAAUGAAAUAGGACGUUCGAUCUUAUUUUGUUGGUUUCUAGGAUUGACGUAAUGAUUAAUAGGGAUAGUUGGGGGCAUUAGUAUUCAAUUGUCAGAGGUGAAAUUCUUGGAUUUAUUGAAGACUAACUACUGCGAAAGCAUUUGCCAAGGAUGUUUUCAUUAAUCAAGAACGAAAGUUAGGGGAUCGAAGACGAUCAGAUACCGUCGUAGUCUUAACCAUAAACUAUGCCGACUAGGGAUCGGAUGAUGUWARUWWKYYAAUGACUCAUUCGGCGCCUUACCGGGAAAACA
rnacentral:rRNA from 1 species